UGUUGAGCCCUCCCUGCCCAGUCUCUGGGCCUGGUACUCUUCCAGACUCUUCUCCAACCGUGUUUCCUGCCAUCAGCCUUGCUCCCACUCAGAUGACUGCUGUGAACACACAUGUUUGGUGACACGGCUGUGGUGUUGUAACGGCCUGCAGGGUGAGCCUGUGUGGAGGUCAAAGGAUAACUUCCGGGAGUUGAUUCACUCCUUCCAAGUGUAGGUCCCAGGGAUGAAAGUCAGGUCAUCAGGCUUGGUGCCAAGUUCCUGUCCUCAUUGAGCCAUCCUACUGCCCUUUCAUUGUGUUUUAAAAACAAAGAAGAACAAAGCUUCAAAAAUC
rnacentral:lncRNA from 1 species